rnacentral:rRNA from 1 species
AGCAGCCGCACGGUAAUACGUAGGGUGCAAGCGUUAAUCGGAAUUACUGGGCGUAAAGCGUGCGCAGGCGGUUAUAUAAGACAGAUGUGAAAUCCCCGGGCUCAACCUGGGAACUGCAUUUGUGACUGUAUAGCUAGAGUACGGCAGAGGGGGAUGGAAUUCCGCGUGUAGCAGUGAAAUGCGUAGAUAUGCGGAGGAACACCGAUGGCGAAGGCAAUCCCCUGGGCCUGUACUGACGCUCAUGCACGAAAGCGUGGGGAGCAAACAGGAUUAGAUACCCCCGUAGUCCCUGUCUCUUAUACA